rnacentral:tRNA from 2 species
GUUGGUAUAGUUUAAUUGGUUAAAAUAAUCUCCUCAUGUGAGAUUGAUCUAUAGGUUCGAGCCCUUUUACCAACU